rnacentral:rRNA from 1 species
CGGUCCAGACUCCUACGGGAGGCAGCAGUGGGGAAUAUUGCACAAUGGGCGCAAGCCUGAUGCAGCCAUGCCGCGUGUAUGAAGAAGGCCUUCGGGUUGUAAAGUGCUUUCAGCGAGGAGGAAGGUGUUGUGGUUAAUAACCACAGCAAUUGACGUUACUCGCAGAAGAAGCACCGGCUAACUCCGUGCCAGCAGCCGCGGUAA